rnacentral:rRNA from 1 species
AGUGAACGCUGGCGGUAGGCCUAACACAUGCAAGUCGAACGGCAGCACAGUAAGAGCUUGCUCUUACGGGUGGCGAGUGGCGGACGGGUGAGGAAUACAUCGGAAUCUACUUUUUCGUGGGGGAUAACGUAGGGAAACUUACGCUAAUACCGCAUACGACCUACGGGUGAAAGCAGGGGAUCUUCGGACCUUGCGGGGGUGGAUGGGCCGAUGUCGGAUUAGCUAGUUGGCGGGGUAGAGGCCCACCAAGGCGACGAUCGGUAGCUGGUCUGAGAGGGUGACAGGCCACAUUGGGACUGAGAUACGGCCCAGACUCCUACGGGAGGCAGCAGUGGGGAAUAUUGCACAAUGGGUGGAAGCCUGAUGCAGCAACGACGUGUGCGGGAUGACGGCCUUCGGGUUGUAAACCGCAUUCGCUGAUGACGAAGCUUUGGGUGACGGUAGUGGGUAAAGAAGCACCGGCUAACUACGU